AUUUACGAAUUAAAGAGCGUGUCGGUGCUGGCUCAUUCGGGACAGUGUACCGUGCUGAAUGGCAUGGAUCAGAUGUUGCAGUCAAGGUUUUAACAGUUCAGGAUUUCCAUGAUGAUCAGUUGAAGGAGUUUCUGAGAGAGGUAUGUAUUCAUGGGACAAAUGUAUCAUGGUG